rnacentral:rRNA from 1 species
UACGUAGGGGGCAAGCGUUGUCCGGAAUCAUUGGGCGUAAAGGGCGCGUAGGCGGCGGGGUAAGUCUAGUGUGAAAUCUCGGAGCUCAACUCCGAAAUUGCACUGGAUACUGCUCUGCUAGAGGGCUGGAGAGGAGAUCGGAAUUCACGGUGUAGCAGUGAAAUGCGUAGAUAUCGUGAGGAAGACCAGUGGCGAAGGCGGAUCUCUGGACAGCUCCUGACGCUGAGGCGCGAAGGCUAGGGGAGCAAACGGG